rnacentral:rRNA from 1 species
UGCUGGAGGUAUCAGAAGUGCGAAUGCUGACAUAAGUAACGAUAAAGCGGGUGAAAAGCCCGCUCGCCGGAAGACCAAGGGUUCCUGUCCAACGUUAAUCGGGGCAGGGUGAGUCGACCCCUAAGGCGAGGCCGAAAGGCGUAGUCGAUGGGAAACAGGUUAAUAUUCCUGUACUUGGUGUUACUGCGAAGGGGGGACGGAGAAGGCUAUGUUAGCCGGGCGACGGUUGUCCCGGUUUAAGCAUGUAGGCUGGUUAUCCAGGCAAAUCCGGAUAAUCAAGGCUGAGGUGUGAUGACGAGGCACUACGGUGCUGAAGUAACAAAUGCCCUGCUUCCAGGAAAAGCCUCUAAGCAUCAGGUAACAUCAAAUCGUACCCCAAACCGACACAGGUGGUCAGGUAGAGAAUACCAAGGCGCUUGAGAGAACUCGGGUGAAGGAACUAGGCAAAAUGGUGCCGUAACUUCGGGAGAAGGCACGCUGGUGUGUAGGUGAAGUCCCUGCGGAUGGAGCUGAGACCAGUCGAAGAUACCAGCUGGCUGCAACUGUUUAUUAAAAACACAGCACUGUGCAAACACGAAAGUGGACGUAUACGGUGUGACGCCUGCCCGGUGCCGGAAGGUUAAUUGAUGGGGUUAUCCGUAAGGAGAAGCUCUUGAUCGAAGCCCCGGUAAACGGCGGCCGUAACUAUAACGGUCCUAAGGUAGCGAAAUUCCUUGUCGGGUAAGUUCCGACCUGCACGAAUGGCGUAAUGAUGGCCAGGCUGUCUCCACCCGAGACUCAGUGAAAUUGAACUCGCUGUGAAGAUGCAGUGUACCCGCGGCAAGACGGAAAGACCCCGUGAACCUUUACUAUAGCUUGACACUGAACAUUGAGCCUUGAUGUGUAGGAUAGGUGGGAGGCUUUGAAGCGUGGACGCCAGUCUGCGUGGAGCCAACCUUGAAAUACCACCCUUUAAUGUUUGAUGUUCUAACGUUGGCCCCUGACCGGGGUUGCGGACAGUGUCUGGUGGGUAGUUUGACUGGGGCGGUCUCCUCCCAAAGCGUAACGGAGGAGCACGAAGGUUAGCUAAUCCUGGUCGGACAUCAGGAGGUUAGUGCAAUGGCAUAAGCUAGCUUGACUGCGAGCGUGACGGCGCGAGCAGGUGCGAAAGCAGGUCAUAGUGAUCCGGUGGUUCUGAAUGGAAGGGCCAUCGCUCAACGGAUAAAAGGUACUCCGGGGAUAACAGGCUGAUACCGCCCAAGAGUUCAUAUCGACGGCGGUGUUUGGCACCUCGAUGUCGGCUCAUCACAUCCUGGGGCUGAAGUAGGUCCCAAGGGUAUGGCUGUUCGCCAUUUAAAGUGGUACGCGAGCUGGGUUUAGAACGUCGUGAGACAGUUCGGUCCCUAUCUGCCGUGGGCGCUGGAGAAUUGAGGGGGGCUGCUCCUAGUACGAGAGGACCGGAGUGGACGCAUCACUGGUGUUCGGGUUGUCAUGCCAAUGGCACUGCCCGGUAGCUAAAUGCGGAAGAGAUAAGUGCUGAAAGCAUCUAAGCACGAAACUUGCCCCGAGAUGAGUUCUCCCUGAGACU